UACGUAGGGGGCAAGCGUUGUCCGGAAUUAUUGGGCGUAAAGAGCGUGUAGGCGGUCCGGUAAGUCAGCUGUGAAAGUCCAGGGCUCAACCCUGGAAUGCCGGUGGAUACUGCCGGGCUAGAGUCCGGAAGAGGCGAGUGGAAUUCCUGGUGUAGCGGUGAAAUGCGCAGAUAUCAGGAGGAACACCGGUGGCGAAGGCGGGUCUCUGGGCCGAUACUGACGCUGAGGAGCGAAAGCGUGGGGAGCGAACAGG
rnacentral:rRNA from 1 species